rnacentral:rRNA from 1 species
CAGCAGCCACGGGAAUACAGAGGGUGCAAGCGUUAAUCGGAAUUACUGGGCGUAAAGCGCGCGUAGGUGGUUUGGUAAGAUGGAUGUGAAAUCCCCGGGCUCAACCUGGGAACUGCAUCCAUAACUGCCUGACUAGAGUACGGUAGAGGGUGGUGGAAUUUCCUGUGUAGCGGUGAAAUGCGUAGAUAUAGGAAGGAACACCAGUGGCGAAGGCGACCACCUGGACUGAUACUGACACUGAGGUGCGAAAGCGUGGGGAGCAAACAGGAUUAGAUACCCGUGUAGUCCCUGUCUCUUAUAC